CCUACGGGACGCACCAGUAGGGAAUCUACGGCAAUGGACGAAAGUCUGACCGAGCUACGCCGCGUGAGUGAAGAAGGUUUUCGGAUCGUAAAACUCCGUUGGUAGAGAAGAACGUUGGUGAGAGUGGAAAGCUCAUCAAGUGACGGUAACUACCCAGAAAGGGACGGCUAACUACGUGCCAGCAGCCGCGGUAAUACGUAGGUCCCGAGCGUUGUCCGGAUUUAUUGGGAGUAAAGCGAGCGCAGGUGGUUUAUUAAGUCUGGUGUAAAAGGCAGUGGCUCAACCAUUGUAUGCAUUGGAAACUGGUAGACUUGAGUGCAGGAGAGGAGAGUGGAAUUCCAUGUGUAGCGGUGAAAUGCGUAGAUAUAUGGAGGAACACCAGUGGCGAAGGCGACUCUCUGGUCUGUAACUGACGCUGAGGCUCGAAAGCGUGGGGAGCAAACAGGAUUAGAUACCCUUGUAGUC
rnacentral:rRNA from 1 species